CCCUUAGAUGUCCUGGGCUGCACGCGCGCUACACUGAUGUGUCCAGUAAGCACCUAACCUCUUCCGAAAGGAACGGGUAACCUUUGCAAAGCACAUCGUGAUGGGGAUAGAUUAUUGCAAUUAUUAGUCUUGAACGAGGAAUUCCUAGUAAGCACAAGUCAUCAGCUUGUGUUGAUUUCGUCCCUGCCCUUUGUACACACCGCCCGUCGCUCCUACCGAUUGAAUGUUCCGGUGAGCUCUUCGGACUGCGCGGUCUGCAGUUUCUGCGUUCCGUGCGGAAAGUUGCGCAAACCUUAACAUUUAGAGGAAGGAGAAGUCGUAACA
rnacentral:rRNA from 1 species